rnacentral:lncRNA from 1 species
GCCUGUUUCAUGGUUGUUUUCGGCGACGGCAACGGCGGAUUGAGGCUGAGGAGGGGCGAGGCUGAUAGAGGGAAGUGAGGUGGUUCGUUUGGGACCAGUCUUGCCUGAAACAGUGGCCUGAGUUGGGAGAAAUCGCUGUCUGAAGUUGGCUGGUCGUGGUGGUCACAAGAGAGAAGAAAAUCUGGGUUUUUAAAACUGAACUUCGAAAUAUUUACUGUUAUGCAAACUUCUU